GGAUUAUAUAAUUUAAUUUAUUUUUUAUUUAUUUAAUAUAUUAUAUAAAAGAUUAAAUAUUAAAAUUGUUUUAGUAAUUUAUAAUGAAUUAAUUAUCUGGAUAAUUUAAAGUCAAUUUGUUCAGUGUUGGAUAAUUUAUAGUCAUAAAUAAGUAGAAUUAAAUAUUUUGUACCUUUGGUAUCAGGGUUUAUUAAUCCCAUAUAUAUAUCUUAUUAAUCCCGAAAUUAAGUGAGAUAUUUUAUUAUAAGAAAUUAUAUUUAAUAAUAAUUUUAAAUUAUGGAAUUGUAGUGAUAUGCUAUUCAUUCUUAAAUAUCUGGUUACUUAAGAAUUAAAUUUAAUUUAGAGUUAAUUAUCUGGAUAAUUUAAGUCAUAAUUAUUAAAAUUUUAAUUAACUUAAUAUUGGAAAGGUUAAGCUAUCUAAUAUUUUUAUAAAUCCUAAAUGUUAUCCUUAAUUAUCUUAGGUUUAGUAACUGCCAUUAUUUAUUUCGUAAUAGUAUAUAUUAAUUUAUAAUUAAUUUAAUUAUUAUUUUAAUUAAUUAUUAAGUUGUAAUAGGUGAUUAUACUUUUUUAACAAUAAUGAUAAAAUUAGUAAUAUUAUUAAUAAAUAUAAUAUAGUAAUUUGGCAAAAUAAAUAUUCACCUGUUUAACAAAAACAUGUCCUAUUGAUUAUUUAUUUUAGGUCUAACCUGCUCAGUGAUUUUAUUUAUUAAACAGCUGCAGUAUUUUGACUGUACGAAGGUAGCAUAAUAAAUUGUCUUUUAAUUGAGGACUUGUAUGAAUGGUAAAAUGAAAUAUUAACUUUCUUUAUUAUAAUUAAUAAAUUUAAUAUUUUAGUUAAAAAGCUAAGAUGAUUAAAUAAGACGAGAAGACCCUAUAGAAUUUAAUUUAUAUAUAAUUAUUAAGUUGUAUAUUUUAUAAUAAUCUAAUAAUUAUGUAUAAAUUUUGUUGGGGUGACAGGGAAAUUAAAUCAACUUUUCUUUAAUAUAUUAUUUAUAAUUAUAUAUAUAUAGUAUCCUUUAAAUUAAAAUAUAAAGAUAUUAAGAUUAAAUUACCUUAGGGAUAACAGCGUUAUUACUUUUUAAAGUUCUUAUUGAUGGAGUAGAUUGCGACCUCGAUGUUGGAUUAAAAUUAGCUUAUGAUGUAGGAGUUAUAAUAUGUCUAGGUCUGUUCGACCUUUAAUUUUUUACAUGAUCUGAGUUCAGACCGGCGUGAGCCAGGUUGGUUUCUAUCUUUUUAUUAUUUUAACUUUAUAGUACGAAAGGAUUUAAGGUUAUAUACAUCAUAUAAUGAUUCUAGAUGAUUAAAUAAUCCC
rnacentral:rRNA from 1 species